rnacentral:rRNA from 1 species
ACUCCUACGGGAGGCAGCAGUGGGGAAUAUUGCACAACGGGCGAAAGCCUGAUGCAGCAACGCCGCGUGAGGGACGAAGGCCUUCGGGUUGUAAACCUCUUUUAGUAGGGAAGAAGCGAAAGUGACGGUACCUGCAGAAAAAGCACCGGCUAACUACGUGCCAGCAGCCGCGGUAAUACGUAGGGUGCAAGCGUUGUCCGGAAUUAUUGGGCGUAAAGAGCUCGUAGGCGGUUUGUCGCGUCUGCUGUGAAAACCCGAGGCUCAACCUCGGGCCUGCAGUGGGUACGGGCAGACUAGAGUGCGGUAGGGGAGAUUGGAAUUCCUGGUGUAGCGGUGGAAUGCGCAGAUAUCAGGAGGAACACCAAUGGCGAAGGCAGAUCUCUGGGCCGUAACUGACGCUGAGGAG